UCGAAUAGUUCAUGUAAAAUGCUGAACUCCGCAUUCUCUCUGCCGUCGGACAGGCCCACAUGAAUAACACAACAGCUACAACGACUGCACCGGACACAAAGGCUGGGGAGAAUAGGCAUAUAAAAGCGACAUCAAGCAAGUUAGCUUCUCGGCUUUCUAUUAUGUUACUGUAACGUGUGGUACGCGCAGCCGCUGACUGUUGGUGGAAAAAAAAUGAAUAUGCAAACAUCCUCCAAGAAGGUUCACCGCACAAUAAUAAGCAUCAACACAAAGCCGAUCGCCUAGCUAUAGCAGCCAAGCUAACCACCGUAUCAAGCUAGCACAGCUACAGUAUUUGAGCAAUAUCUGAAUAUGGCAUGUAUAAAAACAACAGUCACGUCGCCGAUUACUAAUAAAAUAUGCUAAAUCGUAUUUUUAGACAGUGGUAUGAAUAUGUAGCGGGGUUCAGCGGUCUAAUCACAAAGCACCCUGGGUUGACGCAGGACAAGACUAGUGAGCUUCAGCGGGACCUCUUGAAGGGCGAGCAGGACAUACAGCAGGAGUGGGAUGGGAGUUCACAGAAGAUUGGACACUGAUGAGCUGAGCUGGUGAUCCCCCCUCUCUGCACCUGGGGGCAUCGAUUGCAUCAACAGGGCAGAGAUCCCAUCAGCCUGAGUAAGGAGGAGGAUAUGGUCAGUGGGAGAGGUACUGGGUGAUAAGGGGUUUCCCUAGCCAUGUGUGUCAAAAUAUAUUAGAUGGGAAUUAUUGUGACGAAACUACGUCAUUGUAAGUCAAACACUUGUGCAACUAGAGAGAUAACACAUUCACUAUGUUUACCUAAUGAACUGCUUUGUGUAGAGGGUUGAAGGCUUACUUGUCAGUGGCGUUCAGACGGGCAUUGAACUUGAUCAGGAGGUCCACAAUAUGCGUGUGCUGUAGAGGACAGACGUGACAGAGGAAAGAAGAGACAGGAGAGGAGUGACAGAGGAGCGAGAGAGACCCGAGGACAUAAGUGAUGACAUCCACGCUAAUACAUAUGAAGACUUUCCACUAGCUCUCUUUCAUCACAGUAUGGGUGAUGCCAUUUUUUGUGAUGGAUGGUUUUCUGGAAGGUUUUGUAAACUAAAAACAAUGCAUACAAUGUCUUCUAAAGCCUGCUGACAUCAAGCUGUUACAUAGGCCACAAUGUCACAGCAUAUAUGUUUUGUAUGCAUUUGGUCUAUGAAAAAACUUUAUGGCAAACCAUACAGCAUGUAUAACGUCUUCUGAGGCCUGAUGUAAUCGUUGUUGUGAAUCACUCUGUAUGAGGCUGUGUUGUGUAGGGAGAUG